GACGAACGCUGGCGGCGUGCUUAACACAUGCAAGUCGAACGGUAAGGCCCUUCGGGGUACACGAGUGGCGAACGGGUGAGUAACACGUGGGUGAUCUGCCCUGCACUUCGGGAUAAGCCUGGGAAACUGGGUCUAAUACCGGAUAGGACCACUGCCUGCAUGGGUGGUGGUGGAAAGCUUUUGCGGUGUGGGAUGGGCCCGCGGCCUAUCAGCUUGUUGGUGGGGUGACGGCCUACCAAGGCGACGACGGGUAGCCGGCCUGAGAGGGUGACCGGCCACACUGGGACUGAGAUACGGCCCAGACUCCUACGGGAGGCAGCAGUGGGGAAUAUUGCACAAUGGGCGCAAGCCUGAUGCAGCGACGCCGCGUGAGGGAUGACGGCCUUCGGGUUGUAAACCUCUCUCAGCACCGACGAAGCGCAAGUGACGGUAGGUGCAGAAGAAGGACCGGCCAACUACGUGCCAGCAGCCGCCGUAAGAC
rnacentral:rRNA from 1 species